rnacentral:rRNA from 1 species
AUACGGAGGGAGCUAGCGUUGUUCGGAAUUACUGGGCGUAAAGCGCACGUAGGCGGCUUUUCAAGUCAGGGGUGAAAUCCCGGGGCUCAACCCCGGAACUGCCCUUGAAACUGGAUGGCUAGAAUACUGGAGAGGUGAGUGGAAUUCCGAGUGUAGAGGUGAAACUCGUAGAUAUUCGGAAGAACACCAGUGGCGAAGGCGACUCACUGGACAGUUAUUGACGCUGAGGUGCGAAAGCGUGGGGAGCAAACAGGAUUAGAAACCCCUGUAGUCC